rnacentral:lncRNA from 1 species
CUCCCUCUGACAUUAUCAUGGAUGCUGAAACCUCAGACUCUGAGGACUAUAUUAUGAGAGCAGAUUCAAAAGCAAAUCACUAACAUCUAAGCCAACACUCUUGAUCCUCCAACCCAAGCUGGAUUUACAUGGGAUUUUCUUUUUCUAUUUGUCCUCAGUCAAUAGGAAAAAGAUAUUUUGUUGCUAAAAGAUUGGAAAGAGAAAGAAUUGAGACAACAGUUCUGUAAUUAAUCGACUUUGGCAAAGCCUGGUUGGAAAUGACCGUCUGGCAGGGUCACAUGGGCCAAAUGAUUUAAGCCACUUAGGAGCAAUUGAACAUUUCUUCACAUUUGUGCUUGCUUUGUGAGCAGGAGCUAGCAUGACUCAUGAUUACGUGCAAUCACAAAAGACCACGUAAUAUAUGAUUUCACAUAUAUGAAAAGUCCAGAACACACAAAUCUAUAAAGUAGCUUAGUGGUUACCUAGAACUUCAUGGGGAGAAGAGGUGAGAGGAAUGAAGGGUGACUGCUGAAGAAUAUAGGUUGCCUCUGGGAGUGAUGAAAUGCUCAAAAUAUGAUUGUAGUGAUAGUUGCACACUGGUGAAUAAACUAAAAAAUAUGUGUGCACACUUUGCCAGGCACAGUGGCUCAUACCUGUAAUCCCAAUGGCUUGGGAGGCUGAAGCAAGAGGAUCUCAAAUUCAAAGCCAGCCUCAGCAACUUAGCAAGGCUCUUAGCAACUCAAUGAGACCCUGUCUCUAAAUAAAAA